CACUCUAGAGAGACUGCCAGGGAUAACCUGGAGGAAGGUGGGGAUGACGUCAAAUCAUCAUGCCCCUUAUGCUUAGGGCUACACACGUGCUACAAUGGGUAGUACAGAGGGUUGCCAAACCGUAAGGUGGAGCUAAUCCCUUAAAGCUACUCUCAGUUCGGAUUGUAGGCUGAAACUCGCCUACAUGAAGCUGGAGUUACUAGUAAUCGCAGAUCAGAAUGCUGCGGUGAAUGCGUUCCCGGGUCUUGUACACACCGCCCGUCACACCACGGGAGUUGGAGACGCCCGAAGCCGAUUAUCUAACCUUUUGGAAGAAGUCGUCGAAGGUGGAAUCAAUAACUGGGGUGAAGUCGUAACAAGGUAGCCGUAUCGGAAGGUGCGGCUGGAUC
rnacentral:rRNA from 1 species